rnacentral:tRNA from 1 species
GCAUUGGUGGUUCAGUGGUAGAAUUCUCACCUCCCAUGUGGGAGACCCGAUCUGAUUCCCGGCCAAUGCA